AGGACUAGUUUAAAUACAAAACAAAUGAUUUCGACUCAUUAAAUUUCAACCACUGAAGCCUGCUACA
rnacentral:tRNA from 5 species